rnacentral:rRNA from 1 species
AUUGAACGCUAGCGGGAUGCCUUACACAUGCAAGUCGAACGGCGUGGCGAACGGGUGAGUAAUGUAUCGGAACGUGCCCAGUAGCGGGGGAUAACUACGCGAAAGCGUAGCUAAUACCGCAUACUAUUGGAGCGGCCGAUCUCGGAUUGGCUAGUUGGUGGGGUAACGGCUCACCCAGGCGACGAGCCGUAGCUUGGUUGAGAGGACGACCAGCCACACGGGGACUGAGACACGGCCCAGACUCCUACGGUAGGCAGCAGUGGGGAAUUUUGGACAAUGGGGGAAACCCUGAUCCAGCCAUCCCGCGUGUGCGAUGAAGGCCUUCGGGUUGGAAAGCACUUUUGGCAGGAAAGCGGUACCUGCAGAAUAAGCACCGGCUAACUACGUGCCAGCAGCCGCGGUAAUAC